GUCUAUGAAAGUGCACUGUGUGACCGUCCUCCUUUGUCCCCCUCCUCCCCAGAGAGGUGUUGUACAGUUUGAUGGCUCGGGGGACAAAGGAUUUCUUGAGUCUGUCUGUGGAGCACUUGGGGAGCGGCAGCCUGCCGCUGAACGAGCUCCUCUGUUUGGUGCUGACGGCGUGCAGAGGAUGGCUGGCGUUGUC